AAAUUGAAGAGUUUGAUCAUGGCUCAGAUUGAACGCUGGCGGCAGGCCUAACACAUGCAAGUCGAACGGUAACAGGAAGCAGCUUGCUGCUUCGCUGACGAGUGGCGGACGGGUGAGUAAUGUCUGGGAAACUGCCUGAUGGAGGGGGAUAACUACUGGAAACGGUGGCUAAUACCGCAUAACGUCGCAAGACCAAAGAGGGGGACCUUCGGGCC
rnacentral:rRNA from 6 species